rnacentral:rRNA from 1 species
CACGUAGGGUGCAAGCGUUGUCCGGAAUUAUUGGGCGUAAAGGGCUCGUAGGCGGUCCGUCACGUCGGGAGUGAAAACUCGGGGCUCAACCCCGAGCCUGCUUUCGAUACGGGCGGACUAGAGGUAGGUAGGGGAGAACGGAAUUCCUGGUGUAGCGGUGGAAUGCGCAGAUAUCAGGAGGAACACCGGUGGCGAAGGCGGAUCUCUGGGCCUGUCCUGACGCUGAGGCGCGAAAGCUAGGGGAGCGAACAGG